AACGAACGCUGGCGGCAUGCCUAAUACAUGCAAGUCGAACGAGAUCUUCGGAUCUAGUGGCGCACGGGUGCGUAACGCGUGGGAAUCUACCCUUGGGUUCGGAAUAACAGUUGGAAACGACUGCUAAUACCGGAUGAUGACGUAAGUCCAAAGAUUUAUCGCCCAGGGAUGAGCCCGCGUAGGAUUAGCUAGUUGGUGAG
rnacentral:rRNA from 1 species